rnacentral:misc_RNA from 1 species
GGCGUGCUCUCAUGGCGCUGCGCGGCGGGGGCGGUGCGCCGAAGCAGAACACCCGCGCGCGGCUCUGAUUUUCGCGGGCCGAACCGAGAGUGGUUACCACUGUGCCACUGCGGGUGCGCACGUCGGCAGUGUCCUAGACUGGUCUAAUAGAGUAGAGACAAACAAGGCCGUGGAAACGAACGAGAUAAAAACGAAGUCUCGGGUGCCCAGCCUCCCCCUUCUCCUCCAUCUCCAUGGAGGAGGAGGAGGGCUUCCUCCACGUGCUGCGAGCGCUGCGGGACGCCGCGCGGAGGGUGGAGGCCGGGGAAACACGCGGGCCGGCGCUGCAGGCGCUUCUCGCGCUCGAGGCUGGCGCCGACGACCUCCUCGCCGGCGACCCCGACCUCACCGCCCUACGCCGGCUCCUGUGCCGCCUCAGAGCCCUCUCGUGCUCCCUCGACCUGUGCGCCUCCGGCUCCCUGCGCGCGCGGUGCGGCGCGCGGAGGGCGGUCGCGCGCGUGGCCGGCGCCGUCGCCGGCGAGAUCCAGGCGUGGGUCGACCGCGAGGCCAUCGCGCGGCUCGUGGCCGCGCUGAGCAGCCACGGCCUCGGCGGGGCGCGCGCGCUCCUCGCGGAGCUCGAGGCACGGCUGCUGUCCGCGGGCGGGCGGUUCGACCCGCGGCUGCAGCGCGCGCUGCUUCGCCACGGCGUGUUACAGGCGCUGGAGGCUCGGCUCGGGGACCCCGCCGUGGGCGACGGCUGCGCGGCCGCGGUGCUGGCGCUGGUGCGCUUCAACAAGGACGUGUUCGUGGGGCCCGUCCUGAUGGGCCCCGCCGUCGGCGCGCUGGUGGCGUCCGCGUCCGGGUCCCCGGCGCCGCUGCGCGCGCUCAACGGCCUUGUGGACGCCAUCCGGAGCCCGCUGGUGGACGAGCUCCACGCGCGCGGGGAGCUCCCGCGGCUCGUCGCGCUGCUGUGCGCGCCCGACCCGCGCGCCCACGGCCCCGCGCUCGGCUUCGCUCUCCGCGUCGGCUACUACGGCCGCAAGGAGGUGGUGGACGCGCUCCUCGCCGAGGGCCUCGUGAAGCGCCUCCUCUGCCUGCAGCGCUCCGACCUCGGCGGCUCGCUCGCGGACACGGACGAGGGCGAGGACGAGGAGGGCUGCCCAAAGGCGAAGCCCGAGGACGCCAAAACCGGUGGCUUUCUCCUCGUGCCCUGCCUUCCUCUGGUGUAUCUGUGGGGGCGUCGCCAGGGCGACAGCGCCGCGGACGCGGACGCGGACACGGAAGAGCGGCCGUUCGUGAGCGCUGUGGCGCGGUUCGCGGUGCAGGUGGAGGUGGGCGUCGGGUUGAGCCCGCGGGAGAAGCGUGAGGCGAAGCUGGAGAUCCUGCGGCGGGUGCGGGAGGCGGCCGUGUCGCCGGCGGAGGAGGCCACCGUGCUCGCCGAGGUGCUCUGGGGCGCCACGCCGUAGCCGCUGGCUUGAGUGCUUCAACGAUGACCGCUGACCCGCGGGCCCACGUGCCGCGUACGCUAGCUGUUUGCUGCAGACUCGUGGUUGGUGUGCGUACUACUCGUUUUUUUCCUUUUGUUUGUAGCAUAUAUAAGUAGUUUUUUCUUCUUGUUUGUGCAUAUGGUUUUUUUUUUCUUAUUUAGUUUAAUGUUUCUGUGGAUAUUGUUAGAUACAGAUCUUCCGUUGCAGUUAGGACUUGUGGUAGGAGAGUCGACUCCAAUCCGUGUACGUACGUACGUAUGUAUACGGAUGGAUGAUGUACAAGAGAAUCAAGAUGUAACAAGCCUGUGAAAA